rfam:Eubacterium sp. CAG:274 genomic scaffold, scf36
AUAGGAUGUUGGCAAACUUAUCGAAAGGUAAGGACGCAAAGCUAUGGGGUCUAAGGCUAAUAGCUAUGACAGCCCGGUUGCGAUU